rnacentral:rRNA from 1 species
UACGGGGGGGGCAAGCGUUGUUCGGAAUUACUGGGCGUAAAGGGCGCGUAGGCGGUUGGAUAAGUCAGCUGUGAAAACCACGAGCUCAACUUGUGGCCUGCAGUUGAAACUGUCUGGCUAGAGUGUGGGAGAGGGAAGUGGAAUUCCUGGUGUAGCGGUGAAAUGCGUAGAUAUCAGGAGGAACACCGGUGGCGAAGGCGGCUUCCUGGACCAUUACUGACGCUGAGGCGCGAAAGCUAGGGGAGCAAACGGG